rnacentral:rRNA from 1 species
GACGAACGCUGGCGGCGUGCCUAAUACAUGCAAGUAGAACGCUGAAGAGAGGAGCUUGCUCUUCUUGGAUGAGUUGCGAACGGGUGAGUAACGCGUAGGUAACCUGCCUUGUAGCGGGGGAUAACUAUUGGAAACGAUAGCUAAUACCGCAUAACAAUGGAUGACACAUGUCAUUUAUUUGAAAGGGGCAAUUGCUCCACUACAAGAUGGACCUGCGUUGUUUUAGCUAGUAGGUGAGGUAAUGGCUCACCUAGGCGACGAUACAUAGCCGACCUGAGAGGGUGAUCGGCCACACUGGGACUGAGACACGGCCCAGACUCCUACGGGAGGCAGCAGUAGGGAAUCUUCGGCAAUGGGGGCAACCCUGACCGAGCAACGCCGCGCGAGUGAAGAAGGUUUUCGGAUCGUAAAGCUCUGUUGUAAGUCAAGAACGGGUGUGAGAGUGGAAAGUUCACACUGUGACGGUAGCUUACCAGAAAGAGACGGCUAACUACGUG